rnacentral:rRNA from 1 species
AAUAGAUACCCUGGUAGUCCACGCCGUAAACGAUGUCGACUUGGAGGUUGUGCCCUUGAGGGCGUGGCUUCCGGAGCUAACGCGUUAAGUCGACCGCCUGGGGAGUACGGCCGCAAGGUUAAAACUCAAAUGAAUUGACGGGGGGCCCGCACAAGCGGUGGAGCAUGUGGUUUAAUUCGAUGCAACGCGAAGAACCUUACCUACUCUUGACAUCCAGAGAACUUAGCAGAGAUGCUUUGGUGCCUUCGGGAACUCUGAGACAGGUGCUGCAUGGCUGUCGUCAGCUCGUGUUGUGAAAUGUUGGGUUAAGUCCCGCAACGAGCGCAACCCUUAUCCUUUGUUGCCAGCGAUUCGGUCGGGAACUCAAAGGAGACUGCCAGUGAAUAAACUGGAGGAAGGUGGGGAUGACGUCAAGUCAUCAUGGCCCUUACGAGUAGGGCUACACACGUGCUACAAUGGCAUAUACAAAAGAGAAGCGACCUCGCGAGAGCAAGCGGACCUCAUAAAGUAUGUCGUAGUCCGGAUUGG